GGGCCCGCACAAGCGGUGGAGCAUGUGGUUCAAUUCGAUGCUACGCGAAGAACCUUACCUGGGCUUGACUUCCCCGGAACCUCAUGGAAACAUGGGGGUGCCUUCGGGAGCCGGGAGACAGGUGCUGCAUGGCUGUCGUCAGCUCGUGUCGUGAGAUGUUGGGUUAAGUCCCGCAACGAGCGCAACCCUUGUCCUUAGUUGCCAGCGGGUUAUGCCGGGAACUCUAAGGAGACUGCCGGUAUCAAGCCGGAGGAAGGCGGGGAUGACGUCAAGUCAGCAUGGCCCUUACGCCCAGGGCGACACACGUGCUACAAUGGCCGGUACAACGGGCAGCGAAGCAGCGAUGCCAAGCGAAUCCCUUAAAGCCGGUCUCAGUUCGGAUUGGAGGCUGCAACUCGCCUCCAUGAAGUCGGAAUCGCUAGUAACAGCAGAUCAGCCAUGCUGCUGUGAAUACGUUCCCGGGCCUU
rnacentral:rRNA from 1 species